GUUAGAAUCCUGUCAUUUUGCUACUCAGUGGCCGCAUCUACUUCUGUGAAAGACCAGUUGCAUUUCUGUGGACUCUCAGGUAUCAUUAAAGAAAAUCCAGAGUAGGAGUGGGUGGACAUCCCUAACCCCCAGGUACAGCAGGGCCGUUUGCUGGCCUUUGGCCGUGAACACUGUAGUCUCCCAGCUGCACAGAGCUUUGUAAAGCUCAGUAUCCACUCUCUGGACAGAGGGGCACUCUCGGCAGCGGCCAGACUUCGCCACUGCCCCGGUCCGCUGGGCAAAACAGGGAAGUAACUGGGCGCCUUGCUCCCCACCUCUCGGUGGCCCAGCCCCUGCAUUCGUUAGACAAGCCACAUGGCAUUUUGUUGGGCCCACGUUAAAACCUCUUUGCUGGUGAUGACUUGAUCAUGCAACUCCAGUGUUCUCUGCAGAGUCCUGCGCCAUUAGAGGGCCUCGCUUCAGCUCGUGUCUUGUUUCAGCGCUGCCCCGUAGGCCGGCGCUCCUCUCCCUUCCCGGGGACAACCGUUACACACAGAAACCAUUGCAUUUAUGGGGGGAAAUUGAUGAAAACAAGUCAACCUUGAAAUUUCAUGAAAACAAAAUGACCUGCCUUUUUAUUUGAUAGUGUAAUACCAUUUGUUUUAUAAAUUUUUUAGGGUUUUUUUUUCUCAUUGUAAUAUUAUUGUACAGUUUUGCAUGGCCUGGGUGUAAUCAUUUUUUUGUUUAGAAUAUAAUGCUGACAAAUAAGUGUGUACGGAAGGGGAAAAGAUACUGCUUUGGCCUCUUAUCACUCAUUUCAUUUUGUUUGGUUUUAUCCCCUCAUUGUCUUAGGGAACUUUAUGAGAUUCUCUGCUACCAAACAAUGGUGUGGAUUCUUUUGCACAGAAAUAUUUAAGGUGGGACAGUCAAAAUGUAACAGAAGACGCCUCGCCGAUAUUUUACGUUGGUAUCACUUAAUAUUAACCAGACUCUGAUGUAUUGCAAUAAAACAGGGAACUGUUCGAAU
rnacentral:lncRNA from 1 species